GUCUGAAUUGGCCAGUUAAUGGUCAUACGUAAUUUUACGUUCACUGUGAACAAAUCAGGACGCUUAGAGUAUGGUUACAGGAAUGACUCAGCGCAGUAUGAUAUCUUUGUUUUUUUCGGAAAACAAGCUCAAUGAGAGCCAUCGGGGGUAGAUCUAUCCCAUGACGAGUGGUGGAAUACGGUGACUCAUGGGAGAGAAUCGGAGGCGAAGGCGUCUACCUAGAGGGUUUCUGUCGAUCAAGGGCGAGAGUAGGAGUAUCCAACAGGAUUAGAGACCCUGGUAGUUCCUACUGUAAACGAUGCCGACAGGAGUUUGUCAUUUGCUAAUGGCAGAAUCUUUAGAGAAAUCAUAGUUCUUGGGCUCUGGGGGAACUACGACCGCAAGGCUGAAACUUGAAGGAAUUGACGGAAGGGCACACCAGGGGUGGAGCCUGUGGCUUAAUUUGAAUCAACACGGGGAAACUUACCAGGACCAGAUGUUUUUUAUGACUGACAGGCUUAAGGUCUUUCAGGAUAUGAUUUUUGGUGGUGCAUGGCCGUUGGUGGUGCGUGGGUUGACCU
rnacentral:rRNA from 1 species